CCCAAAAUUAAAAGCACUUGUAGAAGCCUCUAUCUUAAGAAUGACUUCAAUCACACAAGGGCACAGCUGCUGUUUUGAAUAAGUAUUGCAUCCAUGUUUGGUAAAGCACUUGCUGUCUAGGAAUUUAUUAUCAGCAAAAUUUAUAAAAGCACCCCCAUGACAAUGCUUUAGCAGAUUUUGUCCAGCAACUCUGCAGUCUCCUCCUGACUUUGAGAAGGAAGGCUACCAGAGGCAGACAGCGGAGAAGUUGGCCAGGUCAGCAUGCCCACUGCAGAGUCCCUGACUUGAAGCUUCUUUCAAAUACUUUGGGCUGUCAUCUCCCUUUGCUCUUCACAUCUGUGUACUUUUUAAGGUCACUUGUAAACUGAGGAAUUCAGAAUCUCGUGUCUGGCACUCAGCACAAGGGGAGUGCUGAGUGCCAUACUGCUGAGCUGGUUUUUUUGAUACCCUUUUUUCUCCCUCCAGAUUAGAUGACGUUGCUCCCACUAACAGGUUGAUUCACUUCAGUGAUUGACAGGAAGGUGAACAAGAGAUUUGAAAGCUUCAGAACAGAAAUUCCUUUACUAAAUCAGGCAUGUUCUGCUUUUUACAAAAUUAGGUCCUCCAGUUCUAUCAGGGAUUAACAUUUUUGUAACUCAGAAGAUGGUGUACAAAAAAAGAAUUUUUUAUGGUGCUGUUAACAACUAACAGUGCCAAAGUAGAUUAUGUCAUUAUUUGCUUAGAAGAAAAACAACACUUGAAAUCUGACCUUAGUGAAGUAUUUUUACUGUGUUCAACUGUUGAAACAUAGGAUCAGAACGUAGCUAUAUAAGUGGCAAAAUGGAUACCAUUUAUAUCUUCUACCAGUUAAUUACUGCUUGUGAAUUUUGUAACAUUUUUUUUCUCCCUUAAAUUCAAAUAAUUCAGUGCAUUUCCAUGUCAGAGUUUUGUCCUCUGAUCUAGCAGCAGUAUUUCUAUAGGAAUAUAAAUAUGGUUUACUGACGUCCACAAAGAAAGGCUAAGAGGGUGCAGCUUGGUCCGAAUAACCAGUGGGAAAUGUGCUGGUUUUUCAUUCUCUCCUCUCUCUCACCUUGUCCUGCAGCACAUCCCAGCAGAAGUAGCACUCCUUCUAACUUCUCCACUUCUUGCCAAGAUGUAGGACAGAAGUCUAAUGCAUAUCUAGAGUCCCUUUAGGACAAAUAAUUUUUAAGUGAUAAAGCUCUACCAACCACACAGCCGAGGAGCAAGGAUCUCUCCAGUCUAUCCAUUUCUCUCUUUGCAGACUCAUAGAGAGUUCUGAAGUCCAUUCAGAGACCAAAGGGAGCACGCUGUUGCUGGAAAAAGAGAGGAGAUUCAAAGACAAGGGGCUUCAUGAUGCUGUGAUUCUGUAUGAACACAAAACAACCUUCUCUCCAUCCUAGAGCUCCUGAUGUCUCAAGCCAUCAAUUAAAGUGAGCUGAAAAGGUUGUAAUGAAUGAACCAGUGCAGCAGUGACACUGUGCAUCCCUGGCAGCUGCCUUUUGGUAUAGGCUAAAGCAACUGAAGUGUCUGCUUUCACACUCAGGUCCUUUGAAGAUAGACACUACAGAGCAUUCGCUCUCAGCUUUGGAGACAUGAACUGUCCUUUUACUGGACAAAGUGAGCUUUGUUGCAUAAAACUGUGGUUUGGAACUAACACUUACUCUGGAGCAAAGAAUCCAUUGAAAGAGUUUGAAAAACUCCAGUCAAUAAGGCAGAGACUUUUCUUUGAGUACCAGAGAGACAAGAAAUCACACCAUUUAAAAGAAAGAGGCAGCAAGGAUUCUCCCUCUUGCAACAACUAUUCAGCCACAGGAGUUUCUGAGCCUGUCCCAAGAAAGGAUUCCUGAUGGGACAUUUCCUGUUCACAUUGCUGUCUUUCUCAUGAGAAUCCACUCUCAGACCCCAUGCCUCCUCGUGGACUCUGACAGAUGGUGGCAUCCAACCGGACCCUGACUGAGCAGAGUAAGGAGGAGUCAGGGACAUGAGACAAUACUGGUGCUGCUGGAGUGUGAGCCAUAAUCCACAGCCAACACUUGUGUUAUAAGAACUGCAACAAGAAUAAAAAAUACCUCUGUGAUUGCUUGUGGCCACUCCAAAUGAAAACAAUGCAACAGAUCUCAAGAGUGCAAAGAUGCUUCAAGAGAUUCAUUCCAAUUUGCUUAAUGCAUGAUGAGUUAUACCUAUGGGGCCCUGCUCCUGUGAAAAGAUUUCUCAGGAAGUGUUAAACAUAUCUGAUGCUUAUCAAGAAUGCUUACGAAUAAUCAAAUAUAUUUGAUACUCUGUAUAAUUGCCCUUGGAAUAGGUGUUCUGCCAGUGGCACUUUUGGUCUAAAUCACAUCUGCCUCGAGGGUUUGAGAAAGCAGUAUUUGCUAAGUAGAUAUGCUAAGGAUGCUGUUCUGCUGUGCGCUGGCAUGCUGUGCCUAUGUAGUGGCACCCUGCAUUUCUUAUUGAGAAACUGGACCCUUCCAUUAGUAAUUCACGCAUUCUGGGCUUAGAAACCUCUGUCAUUAACUUGGUACCUCUUGUAGAUGCUCGAAGAAACCUACCCAGACAACACCUGACCUAUGGAAAACAUUGAAGAUUACUUUUUUUAACUGUUGGGUGGCCUUUGGGAAAGGGAAUGAAAUAAAAAAAAAAAUAAAAUAAAAAAAAACAAAAACAAAACCAACAAAAAACCCAAAACAACUCAGACUUAUUAACCAGGUAUCUAACUCCAAGUUUCAGAAGUUCAAUAGACACCAAUAUAUUGAGAAUAUAACUGAGGCAUAAAACCACUACAGAAAGCAUGUGAGUCAGAAAUAACAGAGAAAUUUGAUAGGUCUGAUAAAAAAUCUAAGAUGAAUUUCCCUAUUCAACAGGACUCUGUUGGUUCUGUAGAAAUAAUCUAAAAGCCACUGAAAAAAAGCAUUACUUUUUCCCCUAAAACAAAAUUACCACUUUUUGAAAAUAAUUUUAUUGCUCGUAAGUUGGUAGAAACUUUAAGAAGAAUUGAUAAGAGAAUGGCAGUACUGUUCUUUAGACUGAGGUACUCUUGUCCCGUCAUGGUGAUGUCUGCCUGGGUGAGUGCAGCCAUUGAGCCCCUUGGGUACCACAUGAAUAAUAAAUGCAAAGCCAGAGUCCUGUCCUGACAGACAGCACAGUCAGUGUUGCUCUGGAAAAAGCCUGAGACACAACCUUGGAAUACUUAUUGGGAAAUAUAAUGUAUCUUUGAAUUCCUGCUCCUGUUAAACUGAUACUCUGUUCUUUUACAUUUUAUCAAAGAGCUUAUGAAUUACUAAUCUUAGUUCAUACCAUUAUUGGAUUAUUGGUAAUUAAUGCAGAUGGUGGAAAAUUGUGAGAGGGUUGAUUUUUGAAAGCAUCAUCACAUGAUCAAGUUUCCAGUUUUGCCUCUAGUGACCCUGUCCAGAAAGCUGUGGCCUUCACAGGUCCGAAGGCUUGGCCAUGCACUUCUGCAAAAACAAGUUUGAAUUUUCUUUUAUUUUUUGGGCCUCUAGUGGUCUGUUUGGAAGGAAUUAGUAAGGGCUAUAAAAUAAAGAUUUUCUUUGGAAUACAGAAAAGAAAAUAAUCAAAGGUAAUGUAGAACACAAACUUCCACAAUUUUCUGUGGACAUGAGGUAUUCAAUACGCUCAUUGCACAAUAGCAGCAACACAGUUUAGCUGGUUUAAAUACACUUAAAUGCUCUCUAUUACAUCUGAAAGAACAAUCUCAGAAGAACUAAAAUGGAGAGAGCUUUCUUUAGUAAUUCCACUACCAGAAUAACUCUCCUACCACUGUUGGUCAGGAAUAGCUGUACACCCUAUCUGUGACAGCACCCACUGGAGAAAAACCUGCACUGCCUGACUACAAAGGGGAUAACAUACAUUUCCUUAUCAUAUCUGUGAAUUGCCCAUCAAGAUCAUCUCAAAAGAUAAGGGAAAUUGCCUAUGGGUUAUGAGAGGUGACAGCAAGCUUUACUAAAAGCAAGUCCAAGGGAUUAUGUGUCUCACUGAAAAAAAAUCACACUUAUAGUCUUGUAUUUUAGUAUUUUCAGCUCCAAAUCCUUCUCAGGAAAUGUGGUUUAAUUUGUGGGUUUUUUUCUUUUUUUUUUUCCUUUUCCUUUUGACUAAUUGUUACUUUUUACCUGAAAUCACUGUUUAUAUCAUUCAGUAGUUUAUCACCAAGAACACCUGUGUGGGAACUGGAAGUGAUAAGGAAAUUUUCAAUAUAUCACUGUUUUCUAUUAGCAAGGUGUGAGCAUGUAUAGAAGUUGCUAUCUGUCUCCUAUUUAAAUAAGAUAAGGGAAUUAUGAAGUGGGGUGUGUCCUAGUCAUGGUUAAUUUGUAAAAUCCCACCUGAAGAGAUAAACACUAGGAAGCUGUAAAUUAAAUGCAAAAACAAUGUCUCAAAAAUGUUCACUAAGAGAUUUUAUCAUUCAGGUUUGUUCCAAGGCAAAUCUUGUAUUAUUUUCUUAUUUCUAUAAAACUUGUUAACAGCCAUGCCACAGAGAGGUAUUCACUUACAUCACACUUGGGAAUUGUGUUUGGGCAGCUUCUGGGUGUUAUACUGGAUAAGUACUUGCAAGGAUGUAUGGUUGAAUACAAAUAUAGGGAGAAUCCCUAAUAUAACAGUUAAUCUUUAAUAUAGAGUUGCUUGGGGCAAACAAAUUCUGAGGUGUUGUGCUGAGCAAAUAUGAGGGUUCAUCUCUGUAACUUCCCUGGAAGUAGAGAGGAAAGAGGAUUUGUCCAUAGAAAAUACUUAUUUGAAAACAUCCUGAGCUGAGAAGGACAUAAAGAAUGAAGGAUGGACUUUGUGGACAGCACUGGCCUGGGAAUCAGGAUACCUGUCGAGUGUUUGCACAUCUUUUUCUUUCCCUCACAGAUGGAAAGUGCCUAAAUAGUGCUGGAUUCAGAAGCCUCAAUUGUUUUGUGGGUCUGUUAAUUUCCUUCUUGUUUUUGAGUUCCCUGAUAGAAUACCACUAUGCUUCUCACUUCUUUUAGACUGAAAGCUUCUAGACUGCUCUUGCCCUGUGCAUAUUCCUGUGACAGUGUAAGAUUGAUCUGCCUCACCCAGACAGAUGCAGUUGAGUGCCUGUGGUCAGUCCUUCACACACUGAGCUGAAAAGCACAGAAACACUGUUGCCUAACCUGAGGCAUUCUCCUACCUCCAUGUUUAGUACGCAAAUAUGGAAUCUGGCUUUUCGAUCUGUUGAGUGCCUGAAGCAUCUUACCUCUCUUUGAAGAGUUGAUUUGGAUUAUUUACUUUUUUGAAACUUCUCAAAUAUCUGCUUUUCUCCAGCCUACGAGACAAGAAUUCUCCAUGGCAUGAUGCAGACCUCCUAGUGUGCUAGCCCAUCACUAGCUGGGCUUGGAAAACCUUGCCAGUCUUGUUCUGCAUUGGUCAAGAUUUAUCACUGUAACUACACAGAGACGAGACAGAAGUCAUGUUUCCUGUGACAUGAAAAAAACUGGAGGUUUUUGUCUAGCCCAGAGUUCUUGACUUUGCUUCACUGAUCAGCUCUAUGGGUUCUUCUCACAGCUCGCUUUGUUUCUAGUGUGUCUCCUUGUCUUCUGGUGCCAGGACUGACGAGUCUCCCUGGGUGAGCUUAGCUCUCUCUGCCCAUGCCAGGCAGGCUCCAUUGCUAGCAGCUGCUUUGCUACAUGAAGGGACUUUAGUGUUGCUUCCACUGAGCUGAAAAGACUGGACUUGGCAAGCUCCUUGGCUUAAUGAGGUCUGCAAAGUGUCUUUGAAUCCAAGACUCCCAUGAUGAUAAUUGUUAGCACUUUUCAACACAGCAGUCUUUAUAUGGAGUAAAAUAUUCAAAAGCGCUUAAGUGAAGGUCAAUAAGACCUAGCUAUUAAAAUAAAUAAAUAAAUAAACCCCAGACCCAUAAUUAACAGAUGUUUGUGGUCCUGCAAUGAGUGAAAAUAUUUUAACAGCCCUUCGGUAGAAACCAAAUGCUGAAGUAACCCUUUGGUUAAAAAGCAGCAUAACUGUGUAGCCUGGCAGAAAAGGCUCCUUCACUGAGAAUAAAGAAGCCUCUGGGUUUGGGGAACAGCUUACUACACAGACAGACCAAAACAGAGUCAAAAGGAGGGUGCUUGGAAGAGCUUCCACCUGCAGAGCUGUACCUUGGGGGAGCAUCUUGUCUGCAGCAGGACAACCUGCUGCUUUUGAGGCAGCUGGUUCAGGAAGUGACACCUCACCUCAUUUUCCCUCAUUCCCCGUGUCUGGGGCACCACAAAACAGGCAGCACAGAGAAAAAGGUGCACAGCAGACUGGCUGCAGGGAAGGCCACAGCCUGGUGAUCCCCCUCAAGCUGAGGGAUGAUAAGUGGCAUCUCCAGGGAAUGGACAUGGCAGCUUCAAAGACCUUGGGAACCAAAGAAUUUGUCUCUUGCAUACUGGUUACUGAAUCAGAAUGGGGAGAACACUGUUUCUUCCUUUAUGAAAUUUAGCCUUUUAAUUUCCUUUGCUUUUACUACGUGUGUCCAAAAAACAAAGUGUUUCAUUUUGGGGGUCAGAAGGAGUUUUUCAGUGCACAUGAGGCUCUCCUCUUUUCAUUUCAUGGAAAAAUUUAAGAGCAGGGGGAGAAAGGGAAGUUGCAUCUGUUUAAUGCAAGCUUCCAAAAUAUUUUGAAUUCAGCAGUCACAGUGAAAAUACAUGCAAUUAUUCACACAGCUCUACUCACUUUGCACACAGAAGCAGGGAGAUGAUUCACAACUAAAGAUUCUUUUUUUUUUUUUUUAACAUUCAUUUACACAGCGAAGUAGCAAUAUUGAGCAUGGGAAUAUGUGUUUUGGAUUCAAGACCUGGGUUUGUGAGCAUGUAUGAUGGAAAUCGAGUCAAAAUCCCACUUAGAUUUGAGUUCCUCCUCCUGGUAAAGCCUGCAGAUUGUGCAGUCUAUCUGAUUGUUACUUGCUUUAGUAGUAAUAACCUGGUGUAGGCUGGAAUAUAAGCUUUUCACAAUAAACCUCAGCUCUACUAAUCUGGCUAGCUUUGACCCAAGUAUUAGACUGCUUUCUCCUGCAGGCUGUGGAGGUAUGGUGCAAAAUGAAAGAAUUUUGCCUUGAAUUCAUUUGCCUUUAGGGUGAGCAAAUGAAACCCAAUUUAUGGCAACAAAAACUUUGAAGGCUAACUUGCUGUCUCAUUUAUCCUUCUAAACAUAAAUGAAAAUCACAUGUAAAAUUUUAUUAAUAAAACAACUGUCACUUUUGGUUAUUUUAAGCCUGAACUCUGCCAAAUGCAAAUACAAUAAAUAAUUUUAGAGAGAAAACUGGGUAAGCCAGCCCAAAAUCUGCUUUUGUAUUUUUUUUUAUAGAGAUGCCAAGACUGUUUGAUCAGCAUGGGAGAGCAAUUUGUUGACUCAUGAACCUAGCUCUCUCUGAUUACUGCUUACAUAGCACUUUGGAAAGGUUGGCCAAAUACCUUCAAGUCAAGUACCUUGUUAUUAUGAACAUGAGUGCCAGUAACAAAG